AACGAACGCUGGCGGCAUGCCUAACACAUGCAAGUCGAACGAGACCUUCGGGUCUAGUGGCGCACGGGUGCGUAACGCGUGGGAACCUGCCCUUAGGUUCGGAAUAACUCCCCGAAAGGGGUGCUAAUACCGGAUAAUGUCUUCGGACCAAAGAUUUAUCGCCUUUGGAUGGGCCCGCGUUGGAUUAGCUAGUUGGUAGGGUAAAAGCCUACCAAGGCGACGAUCCAUAGCUGGUCUGAGAGGAUGGUCAGCCACACUGGGACUGAGACACGGCCCAGACUCCUACGGGAGGCAGCAGUGGGGAAUAUUGGACAAUGGGCGAAAGCCUGAUCCAGCAAUGCCGCGUGAGUGAUGAAGGCCUUAGGGUUAUAAAGCUCUUUUACCCGGGAUGAUAAUGACAGUACCGGGAGAAUAAGCUCCGGCUAACUCCGUG
rnacentral:rRNA from 1 species